ACAAAGGCAGUUGCUUGCUUGUCGAGUUCCACUUCUUUAUACAAAGGCAGUUGCUUGCUUGUCGAGUUCCACUUCUUUAUACAGAAAGAUCAGGAUCCAUAAAUAGAGAGUGUCUGUUCGACUUUCAUCUGUGUCAGCUGUUAGAGCAGAGCAGAUCCAGUAGUUGCUGUAGAGGUAUAGAUUGGCGCUAAGGGCGGUAGCGCUGUUCCUCUCAAUCAGGUGUCACAAGAGAGAGAAGCAAGAGAAUCAUAAGAAUAAGUGUAGCUCCCCCGCUUCCCUUACUUAGUAGUUCAAUUCGAACUUUCCAACUUUAGAGGUCAAUUACUUACUUGUUUCAGCCUAGGAGAUAUGAUUGACUCAUUACUAACGGAAUUCGGCUAAUCGAACGACUUAAUAUAUAGGGCAACUAAUUCCAUUCUGAAGUAGUUUGAGCUUGUUCCUUUUACCGGGCAUAUACCAUUUCAUCUAAUCUACCUUCAAUAGACGGAACUUUCCCUGAUCUCCGGCUAGCUUUCAUGUUAAGGUUGAAAUUCGAACUUUGAUACUUAUACUAUAUUCUUAAAGCACGAAAGCGCUACUAGGGACGUAGGUAAAUACUGUUUAUAGUCACAUUAUUAAGCAUUCUGACUCCCCCUUAAACGACAUUCCGAAAAGAGCAACAUGUACUGGGGUUGGCUAGAAAGAGGCACGGGUGAGUUAACUAGAUCCAUCAUGCUUAGCUCCAUCCUCUCAUACCUUUAGUUUCAUUAUUAUAUGAUAUAUAUUUACUAGUUGACUGAUUUCACUUGUACUAGUUGACUGAUUUCACUCACUCCUAAACAAACACUUGAUAAGAAACGGAUUUCACUCCUUUUUUAAGCGGAGAAGGAUAAGCUGAAUAUGGUUUUUUUGACUUGUUUGUGAUAAGAAAGAGUUCAAUCUUAGGAAGCAGCUGUUGAGAAAAAGAGGCGCAUGGGAGGUUAGUUACCGAUAUUCUCUAUUAUGCCUAGCUAAAUCCUAUUAUUAUGGUUAUGGUAAUUCUAAUUAAGGUAAGGGUAAUUCUGAGGUAAUUCUAAUUAAAGUGCCUGGGUGGUAAUUCUGAGGUAAUUCUAAUUAAAGUCAGGGUAAUAAACCAGUAUCUUGUGUAAACAAAUCAUUCUGGAACUAUCCCACCCACUGAUUGACUUAGCGCUUCCUUCGGAGAUGAACGAAAGCCAACUCCCUCUAUAUACGCCAAACACUUGAACAGCAUCUUAUGUUGCUGGAAGAUCUUUAUCCUGUUCCUUCUUAUGGUUCUCUACCACUGGCUUCUUCUGCUGACGACUUUCACCUCUGAUUCUCAUACCUAUACACUUGCACCUAUAGAGAAAACUGGGCACUAGGUGAACACGAACAGAAUAAGUAUACUUUCCUAGCACUUAUGAUUCUGUUGAAAACGACUUAUGCAGGAGAAGUGGACAAAAGGGAUGAUGUCAGAAAUUCAAUGAUUCACUGAGAAAUCAAAGACAAAAACGGGACUUGUGCUAACGUAGCAGUCAGGAGAGGAGCAAGUCCUUAUUUAGAGGCUAAAGAGUCAUCAUUCCACUCCAUUUGUGAAAUUAUGAAUUAUAUAACCUACAACGAAUAUCGAGUUGGUACCUGACUCCACUACUGAUAUUACACACCGUGAUCAAUAUAUAGUGACUGAUUGACCCCCACCCUUACCUGCUCAAGUCUUCUUGCAUUAUAGGAGUCUAUUUAAGUCAGCUUAAGAUGUAGUGUACCUCAUAUACUAUUGGUUUGGUUGGUACCUAACUCAGCCUUUUAUCACCCCUUAUUUAUGGGCACCUGCUUAUACUAUACUCAUAGACUUAACCGUUUUCUACGCCUUCCCACCCAUCCAUCGUUGUCAUUAAUGAAGUGUUGUGCAUUAAAUAGAAACAAAUAGAGGGACAUGAAUCCACCCUUUCAUCAACAAUAUAAGGAAGAUACAAAUAUGGAUUAUCUACUACUUAUAAGGAAGAUACAAAUAUGGAUUAUCUACUACUUAUAGUCUUCGAUCUUCAAUGCUUUCUUCACGAAAUCUUACCUCCUUCCCUGCCCCUUAUGAGCCAGUGGGUGAAAGUUCCCCUUUAAGAGGAAUGGGGAGCUGGAUCUUUACUUACCUACAGUUAUUACAUUAACACCUAGCGGGGAAAGUCUUGUUGGGACCUGUUCUUUUCUUUCCUUCGAGAUGCUUUGAAUAGCCCUAUAAAUCCUAGCAGUGCUAAAUACGUUGGUUGCACUCACCAUAGAUUUGAGGUAACGGAUCAGAUCAAGAAACCGAAUCUGCGCAGCCAUAGCUUGAAUAGGGUUGGGGCGCCCUUGGUUUGAGCCCUACUAGCUCCCGAACACAGUACAGUUUCUUUAUUACUUGCCUUGCUUUAAGCCACCAAGCAACUACUAAUGUUGCGCGGCAGUCGGCCAAGCAACGAUUACUGUUGCGCGGCAGCCAAUAAGAAGUAGUUCAUAGUUAUAACCAAGUCCUUAGUCUUAGAACGCUAGUGAGUUAUGAGAAAACCGGACCGAGGUUAUUCAAUUGUCAGUUGCUUUCGAAGUCCCAUCCAAAGAUCUCAUUAGUGGUAAAAGGUGAAAGAACGGGGAAUCAAUUCAUUAAUGAAUCUACCCACUAUCAAUCGAAGGGUAAGCCAAGCAAGUUGAUGAAUAUUAAUUCGAUUAUAGAAUAAAUGAUAUAUAUUUAGAUUGAGGUUACGGGAGAAAUAGCUUCGUCCGUGCGCAGGCCCGUUUGAUUUAGUGCCUUCCUUAGGGCUUUCUAUGCCUAUGAAUGAGAGAGGUCUUUCCUUAUGUUAUUCUGGUUUGCCCGCCCAGAUAGAGGAGAAGCGCUUUAGUAUGGCCUUUUCAAAACCUUUCUCUCUCUAUCAAUGGCCUUUUCAAAACCUUUCUCUCUCUAUCAACCCUCUGGGAGCCGAGGAAUCGCCCCAGACUCCAUCGAAUCAGUACUAAUCCACUUAUGAUAACGAAUCAGUCUAUCCAAGCUCCCCGGA
rnacentral:lncRNA from 1 species